rnacentral:misc_RNA from 1 species
GAAAUGUUGCCAGUUUGGGGAAGGUCCAGGAACUAUUGAAGGAAUCAAAUUUAAACGAGGAUGAGAAGUUUUGGGAUGAAGUACUGAAUGAUAAUGUGAACUCCCGAGAUGUAACUUUACUGUCAAAAAUGGUUGUAAAUGGUAAUAGUCAGGUAAACCGUGUCUCCCUACAAAAGGUGGUAUCCGAAGUGCUGCCCAAGCUUGAAUUUGCGCCAAAGAUGACUGGCUCCUUCAAAUAGACGAUGCAGUUUUUCUGGGACAAAUAAAUUUUGUUGUUGUUACCAUCAUUCUGAUUGAUUGUUGCAUAUUCACCCCUUAAAAAGAAAUGCAUGAGUUGCAGGUGCUCUAGCUUGCGGAUUAUGAAGUGCACAGUUGUAUUAGGGCUGCUACCUUGCUGGUGGUCGAACCGACAGUUUGGUUGAUAGAGUAAGAGGUGUCCAGAUACUAUUCAUGAUCUGCUUGCAUGCAUGCGAGAGGGAUUGGCAGAUAGAUUGAGCGUUAGUGUUUGAGAGAAAUUGCAUGAUCAAGUUGCUUGUGAUUCCUGAUUUUUUCGACGUGCACACAUGAGAAGCUGUGCCUUGCUUCUUGUAAUUUGAUUCUUACAUCUAACAUACAGAAGAAAACAUGGGCAAUCUGUUUUACAAUGGAAGCCAUAUAGCCAUACAUUUCUAGUUUAGGAUGAGUAGAAGAC